rnacentral:rRNA from 1 species
AUUGAACGCUGGCGGCAUGCUUUACACAUGCAAGUCGAACGGCAGCGCGGGGCAACCUGGCGGCGAGUGGCGAACGGGUGAGUAAUACAUCGGAACGUACCCAGAAGUGGGGGAUAACGUAGCGAAAGUUACGCUAAUACCGCAUACGUUCUACGGAAGAAAGUGGGGGACCUUCGGGCCUCAUGCUUUUGGAGCGGCCGAUGUCUGAUUAGCUAGUUGGUGAGGUAAAGGCUCACCAAGGCGACGAUCAGUAGCUGGUCUGAGAGGACGACCAGCCACACUGGGACUGAGACACGGCCCAGACUCCUACGGGAGGCGGCAGUGGGGAAUUUUGGACAAUGGGCGCAAGCCUGAUCCAGCAAUGCCGCGUGAGUGAAGAAGGCCUUCGGGUUGUAAAGCUCUUUUGUCAGGGAAGAAACGGCUGAGGUUAAUACCUUCGGCUAAUGACGGUACCUGAAGAAUAAGCACCGGCUAACUACGUGCCAGCAGCCGCCGCCGUAA